rnacentral:rRNA from 1 species
GAUGAACGCUGGCGGCGUGCCUAAUACAUGCCAGUCGAGCGGACGGACGAGAAGCUUGCUUCUCUGAUGUUAGCGGCGGACGGGUGAGUAACACGUGGAUAACCUACCUAUAAGACUGGGAUAACUUCGGGAAACCGGAGCUAAUACCGGAUAAUAUUUUGAACCGCAUGGUUCAAAAGUGAAAGACGGUCUUUCGGUCACUUAUAGAUGGAUCCGCGCUGCAUUGGCUAGUUGGUAAGGUAACGGCUUACCAAGGCAACGAUGCAUAGCCGACCUGAGAGGGUGAUCGCCCACACUGGAACUGAGACACGGUCCAGACUCCUACGGGAGGCAGCAGUAGGGAAUCUUCCGCAAUAGGCGAAAGCCUGACGCAGCAACGCCGCGUGAGUGAUGAAGGUCUUCGGAGCGUAAAACUCUGUUAUUAGGGAAGAACAUAUGUGUAAGGAACUGUGCACAUCGUGACGGUACCUAAUCAGAAAGCCCCGGCUAACUACGUG